rnacentral:lncRNA from 10 species
AUAUAAAUUUGGAGGAAACACAAGCAUUCAUUCCAUGGUACACCCCUUCUGCUUGUGGAACCAAGGAACCCACCCAGAGAUUGAGUCUUCUGAGAAUGACAUCAGAGAAAGACUGCCCUUGCCACCCACACUGCAACAAAACUUUGGGAUCUUGGAUCUUGGGUUAAUAAUCUCGCAAUUCAGAAGGACUUCUCCAGACUCUUAGAUGUGAACCUUCACUGGAGACCUUAAGAUGAUGUCAGCUGAAAAGACUUGAAGACUGCAGAUGAAUCAAAGGCAGGAGUGUCUCCAUGGCUGGGGAAAGAAAUCAUCUGAAGUCAUCUUCAUUCACAUGUUUAGCUGUUGAUACUGCCUGUUGUCAGGACUCUCAGCUGGGGCUGUCCCAUGGAAACUUAUGUAUGGCCUCUCCAUGUAGCCUGGGUUGCCUCACAGCAUGACGGCCUUGGACAUCUUACCUGGUGCUCAGGGCUCCAAAGGCAAGUAGUCCAAAAGAACCAGGUGAAAGCUGUAUCACCUUUUGUAACCUAGCUUCAGAAUCAGAUAGCAUCACUUCUACCAUACCCAGCGUCACCCAGCAACAAGAGGAGGAACAUAGAUAUCACUUCUUGACAGGAGGGAUGUAUGUCACUGAGAUUAUGUGAGUAAAAGAUAUUGCUGCAGUCAUUUUUAGAAAAUUUAAUGUGUCACAAUAUUUUUCUUGGAUUUUUUUUUUGUUGUUGCUUUUUACGAAUUGGGUCCUUUCUUUCAUUUUAUAUCCUAACUGUUUAUGAUUUAAUGAACACUACUGAUUCCUGUAUAUUACAUCUGCUGAUGCAAAUACAUAUAACCUUAUUGAGUUCU